UCCCUGGAGGACUAAUGGUUAGGCCACAGUGCUCUCACCACUCGGCCCAGGUUUGAUUCCUGGCCAGGGAA
rnacentral:tRNA from 1 species